AACGCGAAGAACCUUACCUACCCUUGACAUCCUGGGAAGACCGUAGAGAUAUGGUUGUGCCGAAAGGAACCCGGAGACAGGUGCUGCAUGGCUGUCGUCAGCUCGUGUUGUGAGAUGUUGGGUUAAGUCCCGUAACGAGCGCAACCCUUAUCCUUAGUUACCAGCACGUAAUGGUGGGCACUCUAAGGAGACUGCUGGUGAAGAACCGGAGGAAGGCGGGGACGACGUCAAGUCAUCAUGGCCUUUAUGGGUAGGGCUACACACGUGCUACAAUGGGGCGUACAGAGGGAAGCCAACCCGCGAGGGGGAGCCGAUCCCUGAAAGCGCGUCGUAGUCCGGAUUGAAGUCUGCAACUCGACUUCAUGAAGUUGGAAUCGCUAGUAAUCGCGAAUCAGAAUGUCGCGGUGAAUACGUUCCCGGGCCUUGUA
rnacentral:rRNA from 1 species